UCCGGCCCUAUAGUAAUAUUAAAAAAAGGAAUUAAGGAGCUCAAUCUAGUGAUUUGAUCCUGACUAGCAGUGGUUUGCUACAGUCGGGUCAAUCAAUUUGAUUUAUUAAUAUUACGAUUUAAAAUAGAAUGGAAUGAGAAAUCUUUUUAUAGGCGUCUGGGCCUCUCUGGUCUGGUCUGAUCAAGUCUGGUGGUCAGAAAAAUUUCUUAAUCAGCCUGCAGUCUACCCUAAUAUUUUAAGGUCUUUCAAGACCCCCGGCGAGUUAUAUUGAUAUAGAUAAAAUCAUUUAUGUAUAUAUUUUUUUAUAAACUGGAAGUUUCAACCUGACUCACUUGUUAAUCUUCCAAAAACUCAACUGCUUAUUAGCCAAUAACUACUUAUUUAUUUUGCCCUUAAUAGGGACUUAGGUACCGGUAUAAAGCCUGAUAUAUGUGGCGUUUUCAACCAAAGCUAAAAAAAAUAAAGAUUCAAAAUUAAAUCAGCCUAAUCGACAACCUACAUUGUGGUACCUUUUAGUUGAAAACGUCACAUAUGAUCACGCGCCAUGUUGCGGAAUUUCACUGACACUAUUUUUUUCAUACUAUGAAUUAUCACCCUAUACAUGAGAAUAACAGAGCCCUCUUGACAAUGAUCAUAUACCUAUUACUGACGGUCUAGCAUGAGUUGCUAUCUCGCGCGCGACAUCUAGCAGACUUCAAGUCCGAACUCGCGCGCGAGAACGCUAGACCGCCUGGUCAGGCUUUAACUUAAUUUUUGGUGAAUUAUGUAAAUAUUUCAGAUCUUUAAAACGGUUUUUCAGUAAUGAAAACUAUUUAACUCAAUGUACAACAUAUACAACAAUAUGCAUUUUUUUUAAAUUACAUAUAAUGUAAAAAUCUACCGGUACUGUCUCAAAUUUUAUGUACAUUAUAUUAUUUGGUGUAUUCCCAUUUGUCCCCGACCGGCAUAGAUGGGAAUGAAUGCAUUCAUAUAUGUAAAUCAUUCCCGUUCGCCUCAUGUAUGCCGACGGUCACGUGGGGCGGGGACAAAUAGGAAUACACUUAGUCUGAAAAAAAAGAGUAGAAAUUAAAAAGUGGCAACACUGUAGUGUCGUCCCUUUCAAAUUGAUUUAUACAGGGUGUCCCAGAAUUCGACGUCAAGCCGUAAACGGAUGAUAGACCAAGUCAUAACAGUUAUCAUAAAAAUACAAAAAAAAAAUUCAACUCAUGAUUUUUAAAAAUUAUGGUCACUUUAAAAAUUCACUCAAAAAUCCACACCCUGUAAUGGUUCUUUAACUCUUGUUACUACAAAUUCCAUAAUUUAUUCUAAUUUUUUUUAUUAUUGUGUAAUCUUGAAUAAUUACAGGCUGUGGAUUUUUUAGUGAAUUUUUAAAGUGACCAUAAUUUUUAAAGAACAUGAGUUGGAUUUUUUUUUUAUUUUUAUGAUAACUGUUAUGACUUGGUCUAUCAUCCGUUUACGGCUUGACGUCGAAUUCUGGGACACCCUGUAUAAGAAAACGGGACGACACUACAGUGUUGCCACUUUUUAAUUUCUAGUCUUUUUUGUCGGACUGUACUAAUUGUGACUUUAAAUUUAAGAUUUCUACUUUACUUUUCCGCCGGUUGUGACUUGUGAGUAUUUUUUAUUGAUAUAUUUUGCGAUUAUUGCGGUUAUUGGGUUAUCAUUAUUAUUCAAGUGAUGUUUAAUAUUAGCAUAGUCUAAUAAAACAUGGUCUUCUCUUCCCAGAGUGACACAAGCGUACGUCACAAUAACAUGGCCGCUAUAUAUAGCGCUAUCGCAUAUUAUCAUAUAGCGCUGUCGCAUGAUGACGUAGGCUUGUGUCAGUCAGGUGACCUAGAAAAGACGGGAAGAGAGUACCAGGCGGAAUAUAUUAUUAUACCAUGAAUAUUAGCAAAGAUACAUUGACUGUGUAAGAUUGGUAUUCCAAGUAAUUCCAACUAUCCAAUUUCUUGGUAUAAUGUGUAUUUGCGUCUCACGUUUUGCUUAAUGAGAGAGUGUGACGCAAUGACAUUGGACUAAGACAUAGGAGAGGUGGAAUACCAUCCUAUUGUGAUGGCGGUGUACGGUUCCGUAAUGUUGCGGUAAUUUUGGCUGUCAAAUGUUGACGUUUGACAGCUUAACCCCGCGUAUGCUUAUGGCUCCUCUACACGAUGGCCCAGCGCCAGCCACUCCAAGGGACGCAGCCAUGCGGUAAAAUGAGAUAGCAAUAUCACUUGCUCCCUCUAACGCAUAAAUGCGUCCCUUGAAGUGGUGAGUGGGCCAUCGUGUAGAGGAGCCACUAGACACACCACCAUCUGUUUCGGGUGUCAAACUAUAUAGUUCGUUUUUUUUUGCAUUAGAAAUAAGGUAAACAAUCUUGAUGUGUCUUUUAAUUGAAAAACACAUUUUAAAAAUAAGUUACGGCAAAUAUGUAUGUAACAAUUAUUAAUCUAAUACGAUCAUUUAUAUUCUUCUGCUUUCAGAAGUAAUAGUUACUGAUUUUUAAAAGGCGUUUUUCUAUUAAAAGACAUGUCAAGAUCGCUUACCUUCUUUAAAGUUCUUUCUAAUGCUAAAAAAACGAACUAUAAUCUGUAUCUUUACCAAAUACAAAACCACCUGGAUCUGUCACUGAACGACCUGACUUUAACCUACAUUAUUUGAUCAUGAAAUGUUUUCAUCUACCCUCAAAUGGUUCCUUAAGCCAGUAGAUGUUGUUUACUUUUAUUUAAAUACCAAAAGUUCUGAGAAUUUACCUCUCUAUUUAAAAAAAAAGCUCUUUGAUUUAGGCCUCGUGCCAGACGAGCGCUUUUUCAACACGCGUUAAAAAAGUGCUUGAAUCCGUCCGCACGCUAAAUUCGAUUUAACGACCAACGCUUAAAGUCGAAAAUCCAACAACGCUUGAUAAAAAGCGCCACCGCCAUCGUGUGUGAAAAAUACACAAACACAUGUAUCCAUUUGUUUCAUUCAAACGCGUUGUAAAAGCGCUCGUGCGGAUGAGGCCUAUUAUCGUUCUUGUUAGAUUAUGGAAAGUGCGCUAUGUAUAACUACCACAAAUAUGCAUGUUUGGUUAAUUUAAAUGUCAAUAAGGCCCAGCCAUACAAUUGAAAAAUGCAAAAUUUGCCACAGAUAUUUGAAUCUACAAUGUAGGAAAUAGAGUUGAUUUUGCGUUAUUCAAAAACUGAACAAAACAAAGCAAAAGCAACUCUGUUCCAAUGGAAUAUGAUUUAAAUUUCAUUCAACUGAAUAAGUACUAUAGGUAGGACAUUGGGCCUUAGGAAGGUAAAACAAGGAUUUAUCUUGACCCACGCGCUGUAAUCAUGGCAAAGAGUGACAAGGAUAAGUUAAAAUACUUUAAAUACAUUUGGCACAAUACCACAGAAUAAGUAAUAGUAUAGUUCGUAGAAAAAAAAAUCCUACAAAAGCGAUUCAGGGACGAAUCUUGCUGUCCAUUUCUAAUGUAUGGCUAUGGCAUUAUCCCUUUCGGCUAUUUAGGGUUUUCAAAAUUCAAGUCAUCAUCUAAGUGAUCUGUGGUCGUACACGCAAAGGAACGUGAAGUUAUGCCAACCCUAAUAUGUAUAUGCUCGGAGCUUUGCUGAGCCGAACAGAGGGGCUACCGCGAAAACCGAAAUUCGCAAAUUGCGGGGAUAUUUCUCUAUUACUCCAAUGAAGGCGUAAUAAGAGUGACGGAGAAAAAUGCCGGCAAUUUGCGAACUUCGAUUCUCGCGGUUAUAGCUCAGACCCGAGAAUGCCCGAAAGGAACAGUUAUUUUAUUAUAUAUAUAUAUAUUUUGCAGCACAAGGUUCACUUAACAAUAACACCAAUUUACUUCCAGCGACCUCAUGUUAUAAAACACAUGAAACUAGUAUUUAUCGAUAAUAUCCAGUGCAAAUAUUUAUAUUGGUGGAGCGUUCUUAAUCUUAUGAAAGUUUUGUGACUCCAUAUUUGUAGUUUAUAUAUUGUAACAAUAUACGCCGCUUUCAACAGGCACAUGUAACUGUAUUAAAGUGUUAAGUAUUUGU